UACAGAGGUGGCAAGCGUUGUUCGGAAUUACUGGGCGUAAAGGGCGCGUAGGCGGCCUUCUAAGUCAGACGUGAAAUCCCCCGGCUUAACCUGGGAACUGCGUCUGAUACUGGGAGGCUAGAGUAUGGGAGAGGGAUGUAGAAUUCCAGGUGUAGCGGUGAAAUGCGUAGAUAUCUGGAGGAAUACCGGUGGCGAAGGCGGCAUCCUGGACCGACAUUGACGCUGAACGGCGAAAGCUAGGGGAGCAAACGGG
rnacentral:rRNA from 1 species